ACUUCCCCAGAGGCCUUGCAGAGGUUGCUGCUUUGUCACAUGUCUAUCCGUAAGUGGCACUGAGGAGAGAGGCUAUGUCUGACCUGUGAACCUCAGAAUAAUUAGUAGCCUAACAUU
rnacentral:snoRNA from 1 species